CCUAAACUGCGCUUGUGGAGAAUGGAGAUAGUGCCGUUCAUCAACAGCAUAUGAGUUUGACGUUUGAUGUUUCCUGCUGAAUUGAAAAGAAGUUACAGCAUUUUGGAUGACAUGACCUAAGAGUGAGUACCAGAAGAAUGUUCAUGUUUGAGUCAAUACCUCCCAGGCCCGGAUUGGUUAAUCGAGAGGACCGGGAGAGUUCCUGGUGGGCCGGUCUGUUUUUUGGCCACGAGGGCCGGUGUCCCUAGCUCCAGAAUCUGUUGCUCUCAGCAGUCACACUUUUU